AGGAUGAACGCUAGCGACAGGCCUAACACAUGCAAGUCGAGGGGCAGCACAAGGAGCAAUCUGAGGUGGCGACCGGCGCACGGGUGAGUAACACGUAUGCAACCUGCCUGUAAGCGGGGAAUAACCCGUUGAAAGACGGACUAAUACCGCAUAAUACUAAAUUACUGCAUGGUAAUUUAUUUAAACAUUUAUGGCUUACAGAUGGGCAUGCGCAUGAUUAGCUAGUUGGAGAGGUAACGGCUCCCCAAGGCAACGAUCAUUAGGGGUUCUGAGAGGAAGGUCCCCACACUGGUACUGAGACACGGACCAGACUCCUACGGGAGGCAGCAGUGAGGAAUAUUGGUCAAUGGACGAGAGUCUGAACCAGCCAAGUCGCGUGCAGGAAGAAUGUCCUAAUGGAUUGUAAACUGCUUUCGCAGGGGAAUAAAGUGCAUCACGUGUGAUGUUUUGUAUGUACUCUGCGAAUAAGGAUCGGCUAACUCCGUGCCAGCAGCUGC
rnacentral:rRNA from 1 species